rnacentral:lncRNA from 1 species
CUUCAAGGAGGCUGAGUUCCAGUGCUUGUAUAUAUCAUAAAAAGUUAUCAAACUGGACUGAUAAAAGUAUUGUAAAAUUACCCCCUCAAGCUUAAUAAUACACUCUGUUGUCAGGAGUCGGGUAUGAAUGUUUCCUAGUUCUCUCUGUUCCACUUUCACUUUGAACAGUCUCAUUCAAUGAACAAUCAGAGAGAUUUUUUUUUUUAAAAAAGAGGACACAGGGAGAACUGUAGUCACUGAACAGACCUCUGUUUUCUCAUGAUUUGCAUGCUGCCUUAAAUCAAAAUAACAUUUCCUGGGCAGAAUGACAGGUUGCUUGUUGACACAGCAGCAGCUGAAUGAAUGUAUAACGUCUACCACUCUGCAGACAUUCAAACACGCUGCUAUCACUGCUGUUAUGAUUAUACACUGCAACCCUCUGGGUCGACAAAGGAAUGAAGCUGUCCUUCCAAAAAUAAACAUUAACUGUGAGAUGUAUUACACCUGAUUGUAAAACAUCCACCAAUGACAACAUAAACCCUCACCUUUCUUCCUUCAGGGCUCAGGAUUGUAGCUGCUAUUGUGAUUGGUCACCACAGGUGAGGCAUGUUGAGGAAACAGCAUGCCUUUCUCCUCCCAGAAAACUGUCUUUGUUUGCCUCUGACAGCGGGAAUGUGAGGCUAAGCAUCUAUGUGGCAUUUUGAGCGCUUGAAACGAGUCCCUUGUAUUUUCCUAAUGUGCACAGAAAAGCACUUUGAUCCUCUCGAGCAGCGAGGGUCUCAGCUAUCCCAGUGAAGGGACCUCAGCUCAUCUCUUUAAGUCCACUUCACUUUAUUUUGUAACCGUCAGGUAAACUGAUUAUAUUUCCUCAUUUCGGCCUCAAGACCAAGGGCCAAGGCUGGGAUUGAUAAAUGAGGAAGUUUUACUUUGGGAUCAUAUUUUUUCUUUUUCCUCAUUUGUGCUGAUAUUUUAAUCACACAGAAAGGCAGAUAAGUUUGAAUCCAAUAAAAACACCUAGGUGAAUAAAAGACCAGAGCCAGACAGACUGAAUAAUGUGAGCAUGACCAGUUUUUAGAGUAGAUAACAUUGUGGGACUAUAACUGGUCCUCCACUCAAACACUGGAACAUUUGAAGUCCAGUUUCUGCCUACUGAAGCAAACAAUACUGACAUCUCCAUUGUUGAGGCAUGGGAAAUGAAUUUGGGAAGCACAGGUGAAACUCUAGAAAGCUUAAAUAUGAUAUUUCCUGUGUGUUCAGCUUCUUUAUUCUAGGCCAGAUCUGUAUGAUGAUUAGUUACUGAGUCGUGGAGAGGUAUGCAUGUCUCACAAGCUGAAGGAAGAGAUGUAGAAAACUCUGUGUCCAACAACUGCUUAUCUCUGAGGGCCCCGACUGUGAAGGUUUAGCUAAUUAUCAAAAGGACUUCUCAGCCUUUACAAAGACUGUAUUAUCACCAAUUUUUUGAUCAUUUAGUAUACAUUUACCACCAGAAUUAAUGUUGAUUGAGAUAUCAGUCAAUGCAUUUAUACUCCUUUAGACAGAGCAUCCAAAAGUUUCCAUUAAAAGUUGAACUUUCCUGCAGUGUUAUAAAUCUUUCAUCAUUUAUCACCUGCUACAGCCUCUCACAGAGUUCUCCAUGAUCUGUGUGAAAGUGGGGGGAAAUGUUGGCUCUGUCCAAAUAAAGUGAGUGAUUAACCUCUGAAUCUCUGAUAAAUCAGGAUAAUUCAUAGACAGUAAAAAAGAAACCCUCUGACAUGAUUUUUGAUUUAUAUGGACAUGUAAAAACUCCUUAACAGAAUUUCUUUUUUCCAGGUCUCAUAAUUAUUCUUCCUUUGAAUCCUUUUUUUUGUGCUCAUUUUCACAUGAACAGUUAAAGGGAUAUUUCGGCGUAAAUUUAAGUUAUGGGGAAACACACCGCAACACCAAGUUAGACACAGUACAUAUUUCUUUAGCAAAGAGACUAAACACAACUCACCUACUCUCUUCCAGCAGCUGCUUAUUUGUGGGGGGAGCCCUGACGAGUCGAUCACCGAUCACUGAGCUCAAGGAAGAACAUUUAUGAUUAUUACUUCAUGGAAAUGCAAUCAGAGUUCUUGUGUAUCUUGCAUGUGCACUGCAGAUGCAGUAGUUCUUCUGCCUUAGCGUCUUGAUCUGAUUACAUUUCCAUUAAGUAAUAAUCAUAAAUCUUUCGCUGCACUCGGUGAUCAACUCACCAGGGCUCCCCGACAAACAAGCAGCUGCUGGAGGAGAGUAGGUGAGUUGUGUUUGGUUGAGGCUUGAGCGUGGAGACAUAGACCGCUGUGUAUUGCUAUCCUGCAGUCAUCACUAAAGUUGGUAUACCUAGAGAAGCAAGCAGUCGGCAACACUCAUCUCUCGAGGGGGUGUCUAACUCUGUGUUAUGGUGUGUUUGACCCUAAAUUAAAUUUAUGCCGGAAUAUCCCUUUAACUUGUCUUUAUAGAGCAGUUUUGUGUCUUCAUCUCUGAAACAUCAGUGUGUAUUGGACCCUUUCUGUUGCUCCUACAGAUUAAUUUCAGGCAUUAAUCUUUCUCUUUUUUCCUCCCUUUUUUUCAUUGCCUUCCUCUUAUCUGCAUCAAUCUGGACAGACGUUGGUAUUUUUGAACUCUGAUGAGGUAUUUGUAGUAAUUUAUGUGACUUGGAUGCAGGGUUAUUCAAAAGUUCUGAUUCUUCAGACGCCCAGAGAAUACAGAAAUAAACUUUAGUCAUUUUUUAAACAAACUUUAUUCUAAUUCUGAAUAGAAGCUGUAAUGUCAUUAAAUAACAGCUGUGUCUGCAUUAACUGUGUUUCUGUGGCACCGAUUUGCUCUGUGGACCUGCGUGCUGUUAUCUGAAGGUGGAGUCUGUGGACUGGCGGUGUUAAACCUCCCGCCUGGCUGCCUCUGUAGUGAAGUGAUGUGUCUUUCCUGGCCAGGGGAUUUCCUCCUUCCAGAAGCACUCAAGGUUAUUACUGUGGAGGAGGAUCUGAGCUCUGCUGCUGCGCCUGUUUGAAGUUCCCCACCACGCUUUGCCCCACUAACACUCCCAGAGGUCACACUCAGAGCAGGCAGCGAGCAACGGGCUCACACACAGAAAAAUCAAUCAUAGCUGCUCUUUGCAAUUUGAAAAUAUCCACGUUAAAUGUAGUCUGAGAUUACAAUCAUGAUUACUUUUAAACUGUUUGAAUCCACCUUGUAAUUACACACACAUACCUCAUGCAUUAUUGAUGUAUUUACUUUCUGAAUGCUGAGUGUGGAGACUAAUGUACUGCACGUCUCUUGAUUCACUCUGACUCCUCUCCACAGGCUGUCUGUGUUGGCUCAGUUUCUCCUCUGUUCCCAAAAACAACUGGGACAAAAGCUUCUCUUGGAUCACUUGCGCCUCUUGACUCGCUGGGGCUUGUUCAUGUUUAGCCCUGUGAUUAAUUUAAAGUAACUAUGUAAGAACCUGAGAUUAAUGUACUGCAUGGCAAAGCCUUCUUUAAACUCUACCUGUGCAGCAGUAAUGUCAAAGGAAAUAACCUGUUCACACUCACUCAAGAUAAACCUUCAUAAAAAAGGAUUUCUGUCUGUGUUAUUUGAGGUUUACUAAUCUCAACACUGUGCUACAAGACAUUUAAUCAUUUGAGCAACACUGCUGUACAACCCCAAAUCCAGUGAAGUGGAUAAAAACAGAAUCCAAUGAUCUACAAAUCUAUUUUCCAACCCUAUUGAACUGAAAACACCAUAAAUACAGGAUAUUUAAUGUUCGAACUGAUAAAAUUUAUUGUUUUAUUGCAAACAUUCACUCAUUUUGAAUCUGAUGCCUGCUACACAUUCACCUAGAAAGCUGGACAUGGUCAUGUUUACUGCUUUGUUACAUCACAUUUCAUUUCAAUGACUCUCGAUAAGCAUUUAGGAACCGAGGACACCAUCUGUUUAAGCUUUGGAGGUGAAACUCUUUCACAUUCAACCACAAAUGCUGGCUUUGACCUUUGACCUGAUCAAAGUCUAGAUGGUCCUUUUCCUCUUUAAGACAACACAUCUAUGAUUUCAUGAGACAAUCUGAAAUGUGGACUCAUCAGACCACCACCCACUUUUCCUUUUCAUCAGUCCAUCUCAGAUGAGUUCUGGUCCAGAGAAGCCGGUGUUGUUUCUGGCUGUUGUUGAUACCUGUCUUUGUCUUCACAUGGUAGAGUUUGAACUUGUAGAUGUAGAGAUGACUACCGAUGGUUUUCUGAAGUCCUCCUGAGCCCACGUGGUGAAAUUUUUUACAGGAUGAUGUUUUUUUGUUUUUUUUUAAGCAAGCCGCCCAAGGUGUCAAAGGUCAUGGGCGUCCAAUGUUGGUUUUGGGUCUUGCCACUUAGGUUUCUCUGGAUUCUCCAAAUCUUUAGUUGAUUUUAUAGACUGCAGAUGAUGAAAUCACUACAUUUCUGCAAUUGCAUGUUCAGAAACGUUAUUAUAAACUGUUGGACUAUUUGCUCACGCAGUUGUUGACACAGUUCUGAACCUGGCCUCGUCCUCGCUUGUGAAUAACUGAACCUUUCAUGGAUGCUCCUUUUAUAGAUGAUCAGGACAUUCACCUGUUUCUCGUGAACCUGUUCACCUGUGGAAGGAUCUGAACAGCAGUCCAUUUUUAUCAGUUUGAACAUUAAAUACCUUGUAUUUGUCAUGUAUUCAUUUUGAUUGGUGAAAAAGGAUUUACAAAUCAUUGUAUUCUGUUUUUAUUCAUAUUUUACACAAUGUCCCAACUUCAUUGGAGUUGGGGUUUGUAUGACUCAUCUCCCAUUACACUAACU